rnacentral:rRNA from 1 species
CCUACGGGAGGCAGCAGUAAGGAAUAUUGGUCAAUGGAGGCAACUCUGAACCAGCCAUGCCGCGUGCAGGAUGACGGCCCUAUGGGUUGUAAACUGCUUUUAUACAAGAGAAAACCCUGGUACGUGUACCAGGUUGAUAGUAUUGUAAGAAUAAGCAUCGGCUAACUUCGUGCCAGCAGCCGCGGUAAGACGAAGGAUGCAAGCGUUAUCCGGAUUCAUUGGGUUUAAAGGGUGCGUAGGCGGACUGAUAAGUCAGUGGUGAAAUCUCUUUGCUUAACAAAGAAACUGCCAUUGAUACUGUCGGUCUAGAGUAUAGAUGACGUUGGCGGAAUAUGACAUGUAGUGGUGAAAUACUUAGAUAUGUCAUAGAACACCGAUUGCGAAGGCAGCUAACGAAACUAUAACUGACGCUGAGGCACGAAAGUGCGGGGAUCAAACAGGAUUAGAUACCCUGGUAGUCCGCACCGUAAACGAUGAUUACUCGUUGUUGGCGAUAUGACAGUCAGCGACCAAGCGAAAGCGAUAAGUAAUCCACCUGGGGAGUACGCCGGCAACGGUGAAACUUAAAGGAAAUUGACGGCUGAGACGAGCGAGGACGACGACGAGGGAGGAGG